AAAUAAUAUAGGGUCCUAGGCCACUUUGAGGAGUUGUGGAAAUCUACAAAACUAUUCCUCAGAACAACGCAGGUGAGCAAAUACACACAUUUUGUCUGUUUUUAGAAGGCAGUCAUCCAGGACUGGGAAGGGGCACGCUGGAAGAAUCUAAGCCCCAGUGAAGGGUCCCAAGUGGAAGAUGAAGAAUGAUGAGGAUGUAAAUUCUUGGUGUCUGGGGGAAGCCUGAAAGACUGGAGGCUAAGACCAGCCUUGAAAAUGUAUAACAGGAGACUAAGUGGCAUUUUCUCCCAUUGUCUCAGACUGGCUGACAGUGGCACAGAGCUAGGGAGAUUUCUGCACCACCGCAAUUCUCCUUCUCCUUCAUCUCUUUCAUCUUCCUUCAGCUCUUUCUUUUCCUUCUCCUUCUUCCUUUCCUUCUCCUUUUAUUCCUCUUUCUCUUCCUCCUCACCCUGGUGGGAAUUCAGCUGAGCAGAGAUGAAGGCAGCAACAUCCAGACGUGACAAAUGACCUGUCGCUCCAACAGAAACCGCUAGAAUCAAACACAAAGAAAGGAAAUGGAUGGGAAGAAGUCAAUUUUGAGAUUACUUCCCAGCCCCAAUAAACUGCAAUUUCUUGAAAAACCAGUUGCAUAUGUUUGGCAGCAGCUUUGCCAAGAAGGUCCUCUGAGAAAGGAUUCCAGAUGGAUAGUAUGUUUCCCCAAUAAGUCUCUUGUCUCCAGGCUCCAGGAAGACCUGGCAGGGGCCGGCGUUGCAGCCCAACACACAUGAGGGACCCAUUGGCUUCUUCAAACUUCCCACUAAAUGUUGUGAUUAACCACGCUGUGGCUCCAAUUAGAUCAAAUCAAAGCAACAUGUUAAAAGAAUAGCAGCAGGAGGUAAUGUGCAUAUCAUUAAAGAACAAGUUACAAAUAUGAGUCCUUUGGUGAGCCUAAUAGACACAUGUCGCGUGGAGCUGAGACAAAUGUUGAGUCUGCUGGUUUGAGGUUGCACCCUGAGUUUGCCAUGGGUUGGGAGCUGAGUAGAUAUUAGUAAGAAUGUUAUUAAGGAAUAAUAGCUAUUUUUUAGGGCUUCCUAUGUGCCAGACACUGUGUGAAGUGCUUUGCAUGCAAUACUAAUGAAGUAGGUUGUAUUUAUUCCAUUUUAUGCUGAAGAAACUGAGGACCUAAGCAGAUGGGAGAACUGAUAAAGGUUAAACAGUUAACUAGUGGCUGGGUCUGCCUGAAUCCAAAGUCCACCUGAUUUUAAUUUUUUAUUGAAAUUCAGGUAUAACUUACAUAUAGGAAGAUACGGACAUCUUAAGUGUAAGGAACUAUUACCUAUGUGUACACCUAUGCAACCACCACCCAGCUCAAGCUAUGGAGCAUCCCUUGCCUUCCAGAAGGUUCUCUUAUGCCCCUUUUCCAGUCACUAUCACUCCCAAAGAAAGUGCUGCUCAGAGUAGUUUUGCCUGUCCUUGAACUUCAUAGGUGGCAGCCUACAGUGUGUGCUGUUUUGUAUCCAGCCUCUUUCACUCAACUUGUUUUUGAGAUUUACCCAUGUGUAUAGUGCUUGAAUUAGUAGCUCAUUCAUUUUUCAUUGCUGAGUAGUAUUCCACUGUAGAAAUAUACUGCACUUGAUUGAUUUGUUCUGCUGAUAGAAAUUCAGGUUGUUUCCAGUUUUUAAGGCCAAGGGCUUUUAACCACACAUAUUUCACUGUAGAUUGAUGAAGGCAGCUGGGUUACUUGUUGUCGUUGUUGUUUGUUUGUUUGUUUGUUUGUUUGAGACAGAGUCUCAGUCUGUCACCCAGGCUGGAGUGCAUUGGCGUGAUCUUGGCUCACUGCAACCUCCGCCUCCUGGGUUCAAGCGAUUCUCCUGCCUCAGCCUCCCAAGUAGCUGGGAUUACAGCUGCAUGCCACCAUGCCUGGCUAAUUUUUUUUUUUUUAAUUAGAGACAGGGUUUCGCCAUGUUGGUCUGAUCUCGAACUCCUGCCUGCCUCGGUCUCCCAAAGUGCUGGGAUUACAGGCGUGAGCCACCACACCCGGCCAGCUGAGUUACUUGUAAUAGUCGGGAAGGGGAACUUACAUGAAAAAAGAAGGAGGUUUCAGAGGUCACAACUAUGAGCAGUAAAGCUAAGAAAAAAUGAAAGCUGAACGGGACCCUCUUACUCUCAGAUUUCUGCAUGGCUCCCGCCCUUGUCUUUCAUUCCAGCCUCUGUUCAGAUGUCACAUUCUGCAUACAAUGGC
rnacentral:lncRNA from 1 species